rnacentral:rRNA from 1 species
GCUUGUCUCAAAGAUUAAGCCAUGCAUGUCUCAGUAUAAGCUUGUGCAUAGUGAAACUGCGAACGGCUCAUUAUAACAGUUAUAAUUUGUUUGGUGUUCAAGUUUACAUGGGUAACUGUGGCAAUUCUAGAGCUAAUACAUGCGCCCAAACCCAACUUCUUGGAAGGGUUGUGUUUAUUAGAUACAGAACCAACCCAGGCUCCGCCUGGCCUUGAGGUGAUUCACAAUAACCGAACGAAUCGCAUAGCUGCCGCUGGCGAUAGACCAUUCAAGUUUCUGACCUAUCAGCUAUCGUCGGUAGGGUAUUGGCCUACCGUGGCAAUGACGGGUAACGGAGAAUUAGGGUUCGAUUCCGGAGAGGGAGCCUGAGAAACGGCUACCACAUCUAAGGAAGGCAGCAGG